rnacentral:sRNA from 1 species
AUGGGCAGCCCCCGCUCCGCGCUGAGCUGCCUGUAACUGUUCAGUCCUCACCUAAUUUUACACAGCAUGUGAGGGAGCAGAGCCUGGUGACGGAUCAGCUCAGCCGCCGCCUCAUCCGGACCUACCAACUCUACAGCCGCACCAGCGGGAAGCACGUGCAGGUCCUGGCCAACAAGCGCAUCAACGCCAUGGCAGAGGACGGCGACCCCUUCGCAAAGCUCAUCGUGGAGACGGACACCUUUGGAAGCAGAGUUCGAGUCCGAGGAGCCGAGACGGGCCUCUACAUCUGCAUGAACAAGAAGGGGAAGCUGAUCGCCAAGAGCAACGGCAAAGGCAAGGACUGCGUCUUCACGGAGAUUGUGCUGGAGAACAACUACACAGCGCUGCAGAAUGCCAAGUACGAGGGCUGGUACAUGGCCUUCACCCGCAAGGGCCGGCCCCGCAAGGGCUCCAAGACGCGGCAGCACCAGCGUGAGGUCCACUUCAUGAAGCGGCUGCCCCGGGGCCACCACACCACCGAGCAGAGCCUGCGCUUCGAGUUCCUCAACUACCCGCCCUUCACGCGCAGCCUGCGCGGCAGCCAGAGGACUUGGGCCCCCGAGCCCCGAUAGGUGCU